rnacentral:rRNA from 1 species
GGAUUAGAUACCCUGGUAGUCCACGCAGUAAACGAUGAGUACUAGAUGAUGGGUCUUACGGGAUUUAUUAUCGGAGCUAACGCAUUAAGUACUCCGCCUGGGGAUUACGGUCGCAAGAUUAAAACUCAAAGGAAUUGACGGGGGCCCGCACAAGCGGUGGAGCAUGUGGUUUAAUUCGAUGCAACGCGAAGAACCUUACCUACUCUUGACAUCCUGGAGAGCUUGCUGAGAGGCGAGUGUGCCCGCGAGGGAAUCCGGUGACAGGUGCUGCAUGGCUGUCGUCAGCUCGUGCCG